UACGAAGGGUGCAAGCGUUAAUCGGAAUUACUGGGCGUAAAGCGCGCGUAGGUGGUUCGUUAAGUUGGAUGUGAAAGCCCCGGGCUCAACCUAGGAACUGCAUCCAAAACUGGCGAGCUAGAGUACGGUAGAGGGUGGUGGAAUUUCCUGUGUAGCGGUGAAAUGCGUAGAUAUAGGAAGGAACACCAGUGGCGAAGGCGACCACCUGGACUGAUACUGACACUGAGGUGCGAAAGCGUGGGGAGCAAACAGG
rnacentral:rRNA from 1 species